UACGUAGGUGGCAAGCGUUGUCCGGAAUUAUUGGGCGUAAAGCGUGCGCAGGCGGCCUUAGAAGUCAGAUGUGAAAGCCCCGGGCUCAACCUGGGAAUGGCAUUUGAUACUCUGAGGCUGGAGUACGGGAGAGGAGAGUGGAAUUCCCAGUGUAGAGGUGAAAUUCGUAGAUAUUGGGAAGAACACCGGUGGCGAAGGCGGCUCUCUGGACCGUAACUGACGCUGAGGCGCGAAAGCGUGGGGAGCAAACAGG
rnacentral:rRNA from 1 species